CAAAGGUUCUCUCAGUACGGUCGGAAAUCGUACGUAGAGUGUAAAGGCAAAAGAGAGCUUGAUUGCAAGACAUACAGGUCGAGCAAGGAUGAAAAGCGGACUUAGUGAUCCGGUGUGUCUGCGUGGAAGGGACAUCGCUCAAUGUAGAAAAGCUACCCUGGUGAUAACAGGCGUAUCUCUCCUAAGAGUCCACAUCGACGCGGAGGUUUGGCACCUCGAUGUCGGCUCAUCACAUCCUGGGGCUGUAGUAGGUCUCAAGGGUUGGGCUGUUCGCCCAUUAAAGUGGUACGCGAGCUGGGUUCAGAACGUCGUGAGACAGUUCGGUCCCUAUCCGUCGCAGGCGUAGGAAAUUUGAGAAGACCUGUCCUUAGUACGAGAGGACCGGGAUGGACGUACCUCUGGUGUACCAGUUGUCCUGCCAAGGGCAUGGCUGGGUAGCUAUGUACGGAAUGGAUAAGCGCUGAAAGCAUCUAAGCGCGAAGCCAACUUCAAGAUAAGAUUUCCCACCGCAAGGGUAAGACCCCAGAAAGACUAUCUGGUUG
rnacentral:rRNA from 1 species